CUCAUCAAAUAGCCGUGAUAUGCUGACAAUGACUUAUCACAGCUAGCUUUGAUGAGCU
rnacentral:pre_miRNA from 1 species